rnacentral:rRNA from 1 species
UACAGAGGGUGCAAGCGUUGUUCGGAAUUAUUGGGCGUAAAGGGCGCGUAGGCGGCGCGACAAGUCACCUGUGAAAUCUCCGAGCUUAACUCGGAGCCUGCAGGCGAAACUGUCGUGCCGGAGUAUGGGAGAGGUGCGUGGAAUUCCCGGUGUAGCGGUGAAAUGCGUAGAUAUCAGGAGGAACACCUGUGGUGUAGACAGCUUACUGGACCAUCACUGACGCUGAGACACGAAAGCGUGGGUAGCAAACAGG